GCCCGGUUAGCUCAAUCGGUAGAGCGUGAGACUCUUAAUCUCAAGGUUGCGGGUAAGUUAACACAUCCGCAUACAAAUCAUCAUGUCACCUGCUAAUCACGUGAUUCGCAGGUUCGACCCCCGCAUCGGGCU